CGAACUCCGGUCAGCUGACACAUCCCUGCCAAUCUCCGGCAGACCCUCCCUCCCAGAUCCUCCCACCUCCUGGACAGCAUCCAUGUUGAAGUAGGAGGGUCUGCCGGAGAUUGGCAGGGAUGUGUCAGCUGACCGG